UCCCUCUCGUGCUAUCUCUCAUUCUCUCCCUCUCAAAUAAAUAAAUAAAAUCUUAAAAAAAAUAAAGCUGUGCUCGCAUAUAAAGGCUUUGACAAGUUUUAUAGUAAGGAAACUUGUUUAACUUUGUUUAACCUAGCAUUUCCCAAAUCUACGCAUCCCAAAAACCUUUUGUUAAAUUUUGGAAAAGAUAAUUUGGGGAAGGCUAUUUUAAGUAAGACAAAUGAUAUCAUACAAAGACUAUAGGCUGAAGGGCCAGAACUUGAACUCUGGUCUACCACUUGCUCUGUGACCCUGGGAAGUCACUCAAAACUCUUAGGAUCUCUGUUAUCUCAUUAGCGGAAUAAUUCCUAGUUCAUAGGGUUGUUGUGGUGAUUAAAUGAGAUGAAAAAUGUAAAAAGCUUAGCGCUACCUGGUGUCUCGUACGUAUUCAAUUAAUAUGAAUUCUCUUCUCCUCCCUCUUUUUCUGCCUACUGUUUGGUCACUCUCCUUCAACACAUAAGAUGCAACAGAGAAAACGAAGAAAACAGAAUCCUAAGAAGAGCUCGAUAAAUAGUUAAGGACUUAAAUGGAAAAAGCUGUCUCGCGUUUUUCUUUGAAGACAUCCCAAACGCCCCUCCAGCACCAGACUGACAAGCUGCGAAGGGAAAACCCACCCUUUCUCUGUGCCUCAGGUUCCUUAUCAGAUUCCUUAUAGAUCCCGUCAAGUAUCGAACACUGGCUCUGACCCAUGACACAGAUUGAUACCGGCCCAGCUUCCAAGACGGGAGAGAAGUUCAGCUACAUCCAAACUGACGGAAAUAUGCGAAUGUGAACAUAAACUUUGCCAGUGACUCAGGACCUCAUUCAGUCUCAUGUACAUCACUUUGAUCUAGUGCUUUAACUUUCUAAAGCAGGACCCACACUUUUUCUCUCAUUUUCAAAGUAAGAGGCCUCUCUCUGCAGCAAACGGUAAACUGACAAAAGCAAGAUGGUAAAAAGUGAAGUAAAAUUCUUGGUGAUGUUCUUUAGAAAAGACCUUCUUCACAUGUGGUCUUUGGAACUGAGGGUGCCAAAAAGGUCGGUGCCUGAAAAGAUGCCAAAUGAUGCAGCCAUCGCUAUGGGGAAUUUAAACAUGGAGGCUCUUCCCAGCCCACUGGCCCAGCGGCCAUGUCAUUCUCUAACUGGAUGUUAAGGUCUCACCAUCUUCGUGACUGCCCACAAAAGCUAGUUGGAGAAACUUUUGGCCCAGCUUCUGUUGUGACUGUUUCAAGGAGCAAAUUUACAUUCACUUUAGUUUUCCUUGCAAAUGGACCUCCUAGAUCCAGAUAACUUAGAAAGCCAGUGUAAAGAAAGGUCAACUUUCAGAGUUUACAAAGACUUCCUGCUUUGCUUUUGACUUGUGAUGAGCAAGUUUUGCAUUGAACUCCAAGCAUCCAGUUUAAACUAAAUGCACUGGCCUCCAAGAUACCAUAUAAAUUGUCAGAAAGGUAAGGUAAAACUAAUUGCCUUGAAUACUCAAAUGAGGGAAAUGCUUAUGACCUUUGGUUUAGUAAGGUGAGCAGGAUUAUUUAAUUUGUAGAAUGUUUUAUAUGUCAAAGAGCGUUACACAUGUUGUCUGUUACAGCCUUUGAACAGCCAUUUGACACGGGGGAAGAGUGAGCAAUGCCCAUUCAUACAGGAGGAAAGCAGACUUGUUCAAGCACUAAGACAGCACCAGGCUACAAACCAUGGACUCUUUCCUGAAGCAAAAAACUGGCUUCUAGCUUUGCUACAAACUUUCUAAGUAAUAGUUACAUACAAAGAUGCAGAAGAAAGUGAUUUAAGCAUUUAACUUCAAAAUGUGAUAGGAACUAAUUACUUAAAAAGGCCUGGGUGUCUUAAAUAAAAGUCACACUAUUUGAAUAAAACCAAAGAGGUGAAAUUUUAAAAGGCAGUUAAUUUUAUUUAUUUGGCAGUCAAUUUUAAAAGAUGAAAAUAAAAAAAUAUCCAUUAAAGGUGGCAUAAUAGAUGCACAUUUCUGCUUUUCAGAGGAAAAAAGUCUGUUUUCUUCUGAAAUUGGUAUUCUCAGUUAAUGGAGCACAGAAGAUGGCAUUCGACUUGUCUAAGGAUUAAAACAUUACACUUUCUUCCAAAUACAAAUAAAUCUUUUGCUGAUCACCCAAUUCUAGAAACUGAGAAUAGUAGUACUUCUGUUGUUUUAGCAGUGUGUCAUAAAAGCCGCUCCUAUUGGGUAUAACUGCCUCCUCCCUUUUACAUCCUUUCAAAUUAUUUCAUCCUUUCAAAUCAUUCAAAAUGAGUAGAAACAGGAAUAAUAAGGAAAGAGAAUCUGAGAUGAUAAAAGUUCAGUAUUUCACCCAUUCCACCAAAACCAACAGAUCCUUUGUAUAACACUGCUCUAAAUAAUUUUCAUGUGCCUAUUCCUAUUGGACAGGGGAAAGAGAAUACCAACCAGUGUUUUUCUUUGGUCUAAGUCUCAUCUAAAGAAGAGUUCCAACUUCUAGUGCAUGACAGGAAAAGGUUCUAUUACUAAGGAAACAGAAAGGUAUUACUGUCGCCCCAACCCCCAUUCCAAAAUACCAUGUCACAUUUUGCAGAUAAAGUUAGAGAACUCUGAAAGGACCUGCUUGGUUUCCACUGGGAGAAAGGAAAGCAAAAGAGAAUAAAGCAAAAAUGUACCACUUGGAGAACAGUCCUAGAUGAUACCUCACAUUUUUAAAGUACUGUAGUUUAUGAGAGAACUUCACACAUAUCUCUUGGUGUUGACCUACCUGUGAGGUUGGGAAGAAAAUAGUUACUAUCCUUACUUUGUAGGAAGAGGAACAGAACAGAGACUCAAAGAGGUUACUGACUUGCCCAAAGUCAAGCGCUUAGUAUCGACUUUGCUGGCACGACAGCCAGGUCGUUAUCGUCCAGUUCGGUGCCUGUUUUGUCCUUGCUAAGUGCCCAUGCGAUGCACAAAAAGAGGACUUAGUGGUUUUCCAAUGUGUGACAGUCAACACUAUUCUCCUUUCAUUCAUGGGAGAGAUAAUGGUAUCUUAACUAAAGAGGUAGACUUUGGGGAGGAGCCCAUUAAUAAUAUAUACGCCUCUAAAAAUAUAAAACAUUCUAAAAAUAACUGGUAACAAACUAAGGGAUUAUUAUCAAAGUCAACUCCUUUGAAGGAAAAGCAUUUCAGCACUGACUUAUGUUGAACAGAAAGAAGAACAUUCCUGUGGGCUUAUACUCUUGAAGGGCAACCCCAGAAAAGUAAAGGCGGCACUCUGAGAUUUUUGUCAAUUAGUUUAAUGUAUGUCCAUUGGUAGUUCAUAUGAAUGCUUAAAUUACAAAAUUAGCUGCCAUGGUCCAAAUGUGUGGGACUUUAAGAAAGCUUUUAUUAAUCAAAAGAUAGCUAAGCAUAUCAACUUUGAUUUCUAAAAUGUAUUUUAAACUUUGUAAAACAAGGCUCAUUCUAGAAUUAUAUAGCAUUAAAGUAAUUCUUACGUUAUUUUUGUUAUUUUAAUAACUUAAUUUCAUGAACUGUUAAAAAAAAUAUUAUAUUUGCAUCUCCCAGUUUACACAUUUCUGCAUUAACUUAGAAAAAAAUCCAUGUGAAAAGUUUCCAUGCAGUUACAAAGGCAGCAGCACAUACUGCUUUCACAACUUGUUAUUGCCUCAGAACACACCUGCACAUAAAGCAUCAACAAAAAAAUAUCCCCCCAC